rnacentral:rRNA from 1 species
UUAGUAAUGGGCGAAAGCCUGAACUAGCAACGCCGCGUGUGCGAAGAAGGCCUUCGGGUUGUAAAGCACUUUUUGAGAGGAUGAGGUAGGACGGUACUCUCAGAAUAAGUCUCGGCUAACUACGUGCCAGCAGCCGCGGUAACACGUAGGAGGCGAACGUUAUCCGGAUUUACUGGGCGUAAAGCGCGUGUAGGUGGUUUGGUAAGUAGGGCGUGAAAGCUCCUGGCUCAACUGGGAGAGGCCGUUCUAAACUGCCGAACUAGAGGAUGGUAGAGGGAGGUGGAAUUCCGGGUGUAGCGGUGGAAUGCGCAGAUAUCCGGAGGAACACCAGUGGCGAAAGCGGCCUCCUGGACCAUUCCUGACACUCAGACGCGAAAGCUAGGGUAGCGAACGG